UACGGAGGAUGCAAGCGUUAUCCGGAUUUAUUGGGCGUAAAGCGUCCGCAGGUGGUUUUCCAAGUCUGCUGUUAAAGCGCGAGGCUUAACCUCGUACAGGCAGUGGAAACUGGAUGACUAGAGUAUGGUAGGGGUAGCGGGAAUUCCCAGUGUAGCGGUGAAAUGCGUAGAUAUUGGGAGGAACACCAGUGGCGAAGGCGGCUCACUGGACCGGAACUGACGCUGAGGCGCGAAAGCGUGGGGAGCAAACAGG
rnacentral:rRNA from 1 species